AUCUGCUGUUCAGGCUGACUCAUCUAGUCUGGAGGAGGGCUAUCUUCAUUUCUAAUUGAGGCUGUGGAGUCCAGGGACGAGACCUGACUGACUUGUCUCAGAGAUACUUCCUGAACAGUCUUUCUCUCACCGUGGACCAAAGGUUUGGCCAGAGCUAUGUAGCUGUCAAGCUCUAGAGAAAAUGAGGGGUGUAUUUCUAAAAGGGCAGAGGGAAACAUAGCCAGAAGAGGCAGACAGGCGGAUGAAAAUAUCAAACGGUUCCAGCGUGCACUGAAGGAUCAGAUGUGUGGAGAGUAGAGGCCAGGGGACUGACUGCAGGGGGAUUGCCAGCUCCUCUGAGAAGCCUUUCCCAGAGGCCUGCUUUGGCUCCUGACGUCCUUGUUCGUGUUCUCUGUAGCCGAUGGCAUGUAUAUUACCUAAUCACAGCAGCUUUGAAGGUGAAAGUUCCUCUGGUUCAUCCUGUUUCCUUCCUUCCGGUUGUGAACAUGGACUUACUGUUUGGAUGAAGAAAUGAAGAAACGGGAGAAAUACAGACAUAGAGAAGGAAGGUCAGAGGAUCACAGAAUCUACAGGCUGAGCAUACACUCUACUCCAGCUUCUCAGCUCUCGUCAUCUGCACAGAAAUACAUCACUAAGUCAUUUAUGCUCAUCUUCCUUCUGAAAACGAAACACUAAGCUGUGGAUCAUGGCUGCUUCUCUAGCCUGGACCCUCCAUUGGAUUUCAAGCUGAUGGGGAACCAAGAGGAGAGUAAUUGAGACUGGGCAAGUCUGGAUGAAUCCUGAAGAGCUCAAUCAAACCUAGUAGGCAAUGUCAUAAGUGAGACAUAGAUGUGUGUUGCUAUAAGCCAUUAGACAUUUUGUUAUGCAACACAAUCUGGUGAUGACUGACUAACAAGAAGCUGAGUUAUACCUAUCAGCUCAAGGGGACUCAUUGUAUUUCCUGAGACUCAAGUAAACUAGUCAUCAUUUAAAUGCGGUGAGGCAGGCUUUUCUGUUACUUUCAGACAAAGCCAUCUGCACAGCACAUGACUACCAUUUUCUAGUUAUUCCCACCCCCAUAAGCAUCUUGUACUUUUUUAGCAUAAUUUUUUCUCUAUGGAGUCCUGCACCACCUGCUAGGCUUUACUCAUCCCUAAUGACCCAGAUCAAUGCUGUUUUCCUGUGAGAUUUCCUGUGAAGAGUUAUUCUUAUAAAACUUGUCUUUUUCAAGCACAU
ensembl:lncRNA